rnacentral:rRNA from 1 species
UGGUGAUUAUAGCGAAGAGGUCCACCUGUUCUCAUUCCGAACACAGAAGUUAAGCUCUUCAGCGCCGAAGAUACUUGUGGGGCAGCCCGCUGGGAGAAUAGGUCGUUGCCA